rnacentral:lncRNA from 1 species
UAUUUUAAGAACAAAAUCUGGGCUUGGCCUUGGGUCGUGUGGCUUCCCCAGGCCUCGCUUUCUGAACUUCUCCCCUCCUUCAUCUCUCAAAAGCUGCUGGUGGGUCUGGGUUGAGGCCUCUCACUCUGCCUUCAUCCUCCCUCCUCUAGACACAUCCUCCUUUUGGGGAGGGGGGGAUGCAAGGCUAGGACACAUAGCCUGCUGGAAAUCAUUAAAAUAUAUGCGAGUGUCUGCAAACACACACUUUUAAAUCAUGGCGUUUCCCCUCCACGCUGGUCUAUUUAAACUCCAGAGCGAGCUGGAUCUCCUCCCUCUCAGUCGUUUGUCUGUGUCACCGACAGGCCGCUAAUGGCCGGGCUUCCAGGCGCUGUGCAUUAUGCAUUAGCCUCCUCCCUCCGCCGCACACAGAAGGUUCUGUCAGGCCGCACCACACAAACCACCCUGAGCCCCCCCACCCCACCCCCCGCACUCAGGGCCGGGGGCUGCGCGGCUGCUAACGCGCUGGGAACGCAGGUAUGGAGAGGAGGAUGAGCACCGAGAGCAGAGUGGUUCGGAAGGUGGAAUGGGAGCGGGUGAAAUGUGCCGAAGAUUACACCGUUUGGAAUGCCCAGUCCGUUGUGAGCCCCAAAGCUUUGCUCCUGGCUGCGACCUUCUCGAGGCAACCAUCCCGCGCCACUCACCUCUGUGACCGACUUUGUUGGGGGCGGGAGGGCAGAGGUAUUUAGAGACAGAUCAGCACCGCUUUCCCUUCUGCUGGUCCGUACCCACCUUCCUGCUGCAGGCGAGGGGCUGGCAGAGCCUUCUCUACCCCUCCAGUUCGGGAGUGGUACCGCGAAGGGGUUCGGGGUGGUGCGUCUUCGCAGGGACCCGGUGGGAGUGGAGGAGGGAAGCUGGAUACAAAAUGGCUGGGGCCGGAGGCCGGCACACUGGGUCCGAAGGCGAGUAGUUGGUGGUUCCCCGCCCCCUCUCCCGGCGGUUCCCACUCACUGCCCCCAGCCGGGUAAAAUAUGCGCAGAAGGCGCCUUGCUAAAUAAGCAGCCGAGGCGGGACGUGGCGUCCGGGUUUAUCUGCAGGAGCACCCGGCCCAGCGCGGCGGCGUCGAGGGCUCUUAAGCCCUUGCCGAGCGCAAGAGGCGGCCAGCCUCCCAGAAGCCUCCUGUAUUAUGCCCAUUUGGUCGACACCCAACCACCCUGCGGGCCCCCGUAGUGUAGAUGCCAGUUCACCCACACGUGCCUGUGUUCGGGGAGCUCAGGGCCUGACCCAAAUCGAGCCCAGACCAGAAAUUCCAAGAUGGUUGCUAGGAACCACGGAGAGGCUGCCCUUAGGGCCUUCCUUCCCCAAACACCCAAUAACCCUCCAAAGGCUAGGAAGAAGAAAGAACAGUCAUGUUCAGCCUGGCGACCCUUAAGUCCAGCAGUCUUCUGCCCUGGGAGGCAGCUACCUUUAGAUGUUUCCAGAUGAGUGAAAUCCUGGGAGGAGGAUGCGCCUCCUGUUUGUUACCUCGUUUGAGUUUCAGAGGGGAAGCCAGCUGUGCCUUGUGCUUGGAGGAUGGGGCAGCGGAUGUUUUUUAAAGUGCCAUUGGAUAAGCCCAGAGUUCUUGUACAAAGUGACCAGAAGACUAUAAGUGUGGGUGUGUUUUUAAAGAAAGGCUACCUCACAUUAUGUAAAAAUACAUUAUCUGUACUCAUCCGAGUCCCACCUGUUCCAGUACCAAGUGUCAUCGCCCUGAGAACAGCCUCCGAGGAGGACCAUCGGAAGCCUACACAUACGUUAUAAGCUUUAUGAUGUGGAUCCUAGUAUACGUUAUAAAUAAAUCUUGCACACAAGGUUAGAAGGCCAGGGUCCCCCCAAACACAGGAUGCCUGGCCUUUCCCCUAGGCCAGGGUGGAGCUGGAGGUGUGUGGGAGAGGCCCUAGCGGGUCUUGCAGAGUCAACCUGCCUUGAGAAGGGCAGCCAGGCUCAAGGCCUGCUCCUAGAAGGGCCAGCUCGAUUGCCCAGUUGCAGGGCCUGGUUAGCCUGAGGUCGAGUGGUUUGUUAUAAUCAGGAGACACUUCCAUGGGAAGGGAGAUUGGUGGCGGAGGGGCAGCCCCCGCUGCUCCAUCCGCAGCACCUCUCAUUUCGGCACCUAUUUCUUUAUUUCUCCGUGGGCUGCACGGCCUCCCCUCCCAUGCACUCCUUUGCUCACUCUCUCCUCCUCCUCUGUUUUCAUUGAAAUCCUCCCCUUGCUGAGUGCUGGGUAUAGCAGCCUGACCCCCGGGUCAGCUCCCGAAGGGCUUGUGGGAGGGCAGGAGAGGAGGGGGCAGGAGAAGGGCCAAACCGCCGGCACCCAUUGCAGGCCCCGCGGCAUCCCCAGCUCCCUGAGCCCCUUCUUAAGUGAGGACACAAGAUGGGAUUGCCCUUCGACAGCUUUCUGCUUGUUUUCCCCAGAACAAUUGGAACUAACCGGGCCAAUAGGUGUAAUCUCCCCUCCCCCCCUCUGCCUUAUAGCGCCUCGGGAAAAUCCCACAUUUUAAUUCCCAGUGAGUCACGAAUCCCCCCCACCACUCAUGCCUCUUAGGACUCCCUUAAUAAGAUAUUUUUGAAAUCCCACGGAGUUGAAAAAUGUAUCCCUAGGAGAUGGAGGAGAAACCCUUUAAUCCUACCAGCCUACCGUGGAGGCAAGAUCCCUAGAAAAGGUGGGGGAGGAUGUUGCAAAUUACGUCAAAGGCGAAUUUACUGGCCUGUUUGUCUCCAGCAUCAAAUUUCUCCCCCAGUCAGCCCUCCCCUCGGCCCCUUCGCAUUUACAGCACCCCCACCACCCCUGUUCAUUUUAACUCUAGGACUUUUUUUUUUCUUUUUCUUUUCUUUUUUUUUUUUUGAGACGGAGUUUCGCUCUUGUUGCCCAGGCUGGAGUGCAACGGCGCGAUCUCGGCUCACCGCAACCUCCGCCUCCCGGGUUCAAGCGAUUCUCCUGGCUCAGCCUCCCGAAUUCUAGGACUUUUAAAGUUAGACAAACAGGCCUCUUUGUCAGCAGCCCCGGGAGGCCGUAAGACUCUGAGAGGCUGCAGGCCCCGAGCUCGGUUCCUGGAUUUUCUAAAAGUUCUGGACGUUUACAUGCGACUUCGAACUCCGAGAAAAGCCUGUGCCUGGGGGCAGAGUUGGGGAGACGAGGGGAGGGGAUAGAAGGUGGCUGGGCGCCGGGCCAGGGCCUCUGCGGUUCGGCCUAACCGAGCCGGAAGAGCCUGGCACGGCUCCACACUGGCCCAGGCCAGUUCUCCCGUCCAGCCUGCAGCAGCAGAGCGGCCUCCUCGCCUGGAACCACGUUCAGAGUUUCCCCACAAAUACCCAGCUUCAGCCUUCCCGGUUAUUUUUGACUUGUUUUGAAUAAAAGGAGUCGCUUCAAAAAGAAAUGUUGCCACAACACACAACCAGAGGCCUUUUCUCCAGCUGUGUCUGUAACUCGCAUGCGUUCAAUCUAAUAACUUUUAAUGUCUGGUCCUAAAAUGUCUUUAUAAAAAAUAGUUUUACAGCAUAAUAGUCCAGGUGUCUUUCUGCUUGUUACCGGAGAUUAAAAAAAUGUGUGGGUUGGCUUGCAGAGAUAUCCACCCCCAGAAAGACCAGGAAGAAAAAAGCGUGCAUUCCAUUCUGCAGGCGCUGGUCCUGGAAGCGUUCGCGGCCCAGCCUGGCUGGGCACUGCUCGCGGGGGCACUUGCUCGCCUGUCUUUUGCAUCAGUUGUUAUAAGCAGCUCUGGAGCAUGAAGAUUUAAUUCUGCCGAAGUUUCGGGUUUCAAACGGUAGAGAUGUUUCACUUCUGCUUUGAGAAGGGCUGUUUUUAUAACUAUGUGCUGAGAACUAAAACAGAAUGAAUAAAAUCGCACCUAAUACC